UGGGGAAUAUUGGACAAUGGGGGCAACCCUGAUCCAGCAAUGCCGCGUGUGUGAAGAAGGUCUUCGGAUUGUAAAGCACUUUCGACGGGGACGAUGAUGACGGUACCCGUAGAAGAAGCCCCGGCUAACUUCGUGCCAGCAGCCGCGGUAAUACGAAGGGGGCUAGCGUUGCUCGGAAUGACUGGGCGUAAAGGGCGUGUAGGCGGUUUACACAGUCAGAUGUGAAAUCCCCGGGCUUAACCUGGGAGCUGCAUUUGAUACGUGUAGACUAGAGUGUGAGAGAGGGUUGUGGAAUUCCCAGUGUAGAGGUGAAAUUCGUAGAUAUUGGGAAGAACACCGGUGGCGAAGGCGGCAACCUGGCUCAUGACUGACGCUGAGGCGCGAAAGCGUGGGGAGCAAACAGGAUUAGAUACCCUGGUAGUCCACGCCUGUAAAACGAUGUGUGCUAGAUGUUGGGUAACU
rnacentral:rRNA from 1 species